CCUACGGGUGGCAGCAGUGAGGAAUAUUGGUCAAUGGACGAGAGUCUGAACCAGCCAAGUAGCGUGAAGGAUGACUGCCCUAUGGGUUGUAAACUUCUUUUAUAUGGGAAUAAAACGUUCCACGUGUGGGAUUUUGUAUGUACCAUAUGAAUAAGGAUCGGCUAACUCCGUGCCAGCAGCCGCGGUAAUACGGAGGAUCCGAGCGUUAUCCGGAUUUAUUGGGUUUAAAGGGAGCGUAGGUGGAUUGUUAAGUCAGUUGUGAAAGUUUGCGGCUCAACCGUAAAAUUGCAGUUGAAACUGGCAGUCUUGAGUACAGUAGAGGUGGGCGGAAUUCGUGGUGUAGCGGUGAAAUGCUUAGAUAUCACGAAGAACUCCGAUUGCGAAGGCAGUUCACUGGACUGCAACUGACACUGAGGCUCGAAAGUGUGGGUAUCAAACAGGAUUGGAUACCCUUGUAGUC
rnacentral:rRNA from 1 species